rnacentral:misc_RNA from 1 species
GAUGAAGAACGUAGCAAAAUGCGAUAAGUAAUGUGAAUUGCAGAAUUCAGUGAAUCAUCGAAUCUUUGAACGCACAUUGCGCCCGCCAGUACUCUGGCGGGCAUGCCUGUCCGAGCGUCAUUUCAACCCUCAGGGCCCUCCAGCAGGGCGCUGGUGUUGGGGAUCGGCAGUCCCAGCGGCUGCCGUCCCUGAAAUGUAGUGGCGGUCCCACCGUGACCUCCCCUGUGCAGUACAUCGCUCGCAGAGGGACAGCGGUGCGGCCACGCCGUAAAGCGCCCAACUCUUCAAGGUUGACCUCGGAUCAGGUAGGACUACCCGCUGAACUUAAGCAUAUCAAUAAGCGGAGGA